AGCGUACACGGUGGAUGCCCUGGCAGUCAGAGGCGAUGAAGGGCGUGCUAAUCUGCGAUAAGCGCCGGUAAGGUGAUAUGAACCGUUAUAACCGGCGAUACCCGAAUGGGGAAACCCAGUGUGAUUCGUCACACUAUCAUUAACUGAAUCCAUAGGUUAAUGAGGCGAACCGGGGGAACUGAAACAUCUAAGUACCCCGAGGAAAAGAAAUCAACCGAGAUUCCCCCAGUAGCGGCGAGCGAACGGGGAGGAGCCCAGAGCCUGAAUCAGCAUGUGUGUUAGUGGAAGCGUCUGGAAAGGCGCGCGAUACAGGGUGACAGCCCCGUACACAAAAGCGCAUGUGCUGUGAGCUCGAUGAGUAGGGCGGGACACGUGGUAUCCUGUCUGAAUAUGGGGGGACCAUCCUCCAAGGCUAAAUACUCCUGACUGACCGAUAGUGAACCAGUACCGUGAGGGAAAGGCGAAAAGAACCCCGGCGAGGGGAGUGAAAAAGAACCUGAAACCGUGUACGUACAAGCAGUGGGAGCACCCUUUGGGGUGUGACUGCGUACCUUUUGUAUAAUGGGUCAGCGACUUAUAUUCUGUAGCAAGGUUAACCGUAUAGGGGAGCCGAAGGGAAACCGAGUCUUAACCGGGCGUUAAGUUGCAGGGUAUAGACCCGAAACCCGGUGAUCUAGCCAUGGGCAGGUUGAAGGUUGGGUAACACUAACUGGAGGACCGAACCGACUAAUGUUGAAAAAUUAGCGGAUGACCUGUGGCUGGGGGUGAAAGGCCAAUCAAACCGGGAGAUAGCUGGUUCUCCCCGAAAGCUAUUUAGGUAGCGCCUCGUGAAUUCAUCUCCGGGGGUAGAGCACUGUUUCGGCUAGGGGGCCAUCCCGGCUUACCAACCCGAUGCAAACUGCGAAUACCGGAGAAUGUUAUCACGGGAGACACACGGCGGGUGCUAACGUCCGUCGUGAAGAGGGAAACAACCCAGACCGCCAGCUAAGGUCCCAAAGUCAUGGUUAAGUGGGAAACGAUGUGGGAAGGCCCAGACAGCCAGGAUGUUGGCUUAGAAGCAGCCAUCAUUUAAAGAAAGCGUAAUAGCUCACUGGUCGAGUCGGCCUGCGCGGAAGAUGUAACGGGGCUAAACCAUGCACCGAAGCUGCGGCAGCGACACUAUGUGUUGUUGGGUAGGGGAGCGUUCUGUAAGCCUGUGAAGGUGUGUCGUGAGGCAUGCUGGAGGUAUCAGAAGUGCGAAUGCUGACAUAAGUAACGAUAAAGCGGGUGAAAAGCCCGCUCGCCGGAAGACCAAGGGUUCCUGUCCAACGUUAAUCGGGGCAGGGUGAGUCGACCCCUAAGGCGAGGCCGAAAGGCGUAGUCGAUGGGAAACGGGUUAAUAUUCCCGUACUUGGUGUUACUGCGAAGGGGGGACGGAGAAGGCUAUGUUGGCCGGGCGACGGUUGUCCCGGUUUAAGCGUGUAGGUGUGUGUUCCAGGUAAAUCCGGUUCACUUUAACACUGAGGCGUGACGACGAGGCACUACGGUGCUGAAGCAACAAAUGCCCUGCUUCCAGGAAAAGCCUCUAAGCAUCAGGUAACAUCAAAUCGUACCCCAAACCGACACAGGUGGUCAGGUAGAGAAUACCAAGGCGCUUGAGAGAACUCGGGUGAAGGAACUAGGCAAAAUGGUGCCGUAACUUCGGGAGAAGGCACGCUGACACGUAGGUGAAGUGAUUUACUCAUGGAGCUGAAGUCAGUCGAAGAUACCAGCUGGCUGCAACUGUUUAUUAAAAACACAGCACUGUGCAAACACGAAAGUGGACGUAUACGGUGUGACGCCUGCCCGGUGCCGGAAGGUUAAUUGAUGGGGUCAGCGCAAGCGAAGCUCCUGAUCGAAGCCCCGGUAAACGGCGGCCGUAACUAUAACGGUCCUAAGGUAGCGAAAUUCCUUGUCGGGUAAGUUCCGACCUGCACGAAUGGCGUAAUGAUGGCCAGGCUGUCUCCACCCGAGACUCAGUGAAAUUGAACUCGCUGUGAAGAUGCAGUGUACCCGCGGCAAGACGGAAAGACCCCGUGAACCUUUACUAUAGCUUGACACUGAACAUUGAGCCUUGAUGUGUAGGAUAGGUGGGAGGCUUUGAAGUGUGGACGCCAGUCUGCAUGGAGCCGACCUUGAAAUACCACCCUUUAAUGUUUGAUGUUCUAACGUGGACCCGUGAUCCGGGUUGCGGACAGUGUCUGGUGGGUAGUUUGACUGGGGCGGUCUCCUCCUAAAGAGUAACGGAGGAGCACGAAGGUUGGCUAAUCCUGGUCGGACAUCAGGAGGUUAGUGCAAUGGCAUAAGCCAGCUUGACUGCGAGCGUGACGGCGCGAGCAGGUGCGAAAGCAGGUCAUAGUGAUCCGGUGGUUCUGAAUGGAAGGGCCAUCGCUCAACGGAUAAAAGGUACUCCGGGGAUAACAGGCUGAUACCGCCCAAGAGUUCAUAUCGACGGCGGUGUUUGGCACCUCGAUGUCGGCUCAUCACAUCCUGGGGCUGAAGUAGGUCCCAAGGGUAUGGCUGUUCGCCAUUUAAAGUGGUACGCGAGCUGGGUUUAGAACGUCGUGAGACAGUUCGGUCCCUAUCUGCCGUGGGCGCUGGAGAACUGAGGGGGGCUGCUCCUAGUACGAGAGGACCGGAGUGGACGCAUCACUGGUGUUCGGGUUGUCAUGCCAAUGGCACUGCCCGGUAGCUAAAUGCGGAAGAGAUAAGUGCUGAAAGCAUCUAAGCACGAAACUUGCCCCGAGAUGAGUUCU
rnacentral:rRNA from 1 species